UAACAUUAUGGUGACUUUGCAUAGAUUUUUUGCCUUAAUGCAAAUAGGGAAAUGAUUUUCUAAUCAGCAUAGACAAGACAUUUUGGGUAAACUUUUGCCCUCAAUAUUAUGACUGAUUUUCUCCUGGCCCUUCAUCCUGCAAAGACAAGAUUUUUCAUCCUGAUUCAGAAUGGGAGGAAUAAUCUCCAGGUGGGAAUUAUUCACAUGCCCUGGUUCAGGACCAGCUGCACCUCAGUCAACUGCUGCUCCUCGCAGAGGAGAUGAGGAUGAUGCUGAAUAAAUGCCCCUACGGACUGAUGGAAAUCCAAAUGUCUCCUCUCCCAGUUUGCUUCCUGAGCCGUGCUGGCCUCAUCUCAGUGCUGGUUUUUAAUGCUGUGAGAGAUGCUCCACUGGGGAAGUUCCUGGUAGCAGCUCCAAGGCUCUGUGAGGAAGGAGAUCAGCAGUAACACAGGGGUGAAGGGGGUCAGGCUCCAGGGGCUGUCGAGAUGUGAAGGCUGUGAAUGUUAAAAUGAAUUUUUGCACUGAGGCACAGGGAAGAGUUUCCCUCCUUGGCUCAGUGGGGGAGAUCUCGUCUCCCUCCAGAGGAUCAUGGCAAAUCUAGUGCUGGAUCAAGUGAGCUUAUCUCCUGUGCUGCCUGUCCUCUCCUUGCAGGAGCAGCCCAUAAAUCCAGGCAUUCUGACCUUCCUGUGGCAGAUGCUGUGGUAUCCAUCACAAACCCUGGUAAGGCUGUAUCUGCCCUGGUGUGUGCUGGUGCCUCCCUUUCCAGCCCCAAGGGCACAGAACAGAUACCUGUCUUACCUGGGAUGGUGCAAGAACAACAGCAACCCUCUGCUCUCUGCCUGAAACACCCUCUGACACGAGCUGCAGUUUCAGGGGCAUCUUUUAUUAAUUAAAAAAGAGAUCAACUGCAGAUCUGAUCUCACACCAAAUUACCUCACUUGUUCACUGGCACCAGGGAGCAACAUCAGAAGGGGUGUUAACUAAAUUUGUGUUUGCUUUGCUCUGGUAAAGCAACUCCACAGCCUAGAACAUUGCAGAGGUUAGCAGGGCACAGAAAAAAAUAUAGGUGAAUAGAGCCU